rnacentral:rRNA from 1 species
CAGUCGCCACGGUAAUACAGAGGGUGCGAGCGUUAAUCGGAUUUACUGGGCGUAAAGCGUGCGUAGGCAGCUUUUUAAGUCGGAUGUGAAAUCCCUGAGCUUAACUUAGGAAUUGCAUUCGAUACUGGGAAGCUAGAGUAUGGGAGAGGAUGGUAGAAUUCCAGGUGUAGCGGUGAAAUGCGUAGAGAUCUGGAGGAAUACCGAUGGCGAAGGCAGCCAUCUGGCCUAAUACUGACGCUGAGGUACGAAAGCAUGGGGAGCAAACAGGAUUAGAUACCCCCGUAGUCCCUGUCUCUUAUAC